rnacentral:rRNA from 1 species
UGGGGAAUUUUGGACAAUGGGCGAAAGCCUGAUCCAGCAAUGCCGCGUGUGUGAAGAAGGCCUUCGGGUUGUAAAGCACUUUUGUCCGGAAAGAAAUCCUCUGGGUUAAUACCUCGGGGGGAUGACGGUACCAUUUAUAAGCUCCGGCUAACUACGUGCCAGCAGCCGCGGUAAUACGUAGGGAGCAAGCGUUGUUCGGAUUUACUGGGCGUAAAGGGCGCGUAGGCGGCGCGGUAAGUCACUUGUGAAAUCUCUGAGCUUAACUCAGAACUGCCAAGUGAUACUGCUGUGCUAGAGUGCGGAAGAGGCAACCGGAAUUCUUGGUGUAGCGGUGAACUGCGUAGAUAUCAAGAGGAACACCUGAGGCGAAGGCGGGUUGCUGGGCCGACACUGACGCUGAUGCGCGAAAGCCAGGGGAGCAAACG